UACGUAGGGUGCAAGCGUUAAUCGGAAUUACGGGGCUUAAAGCGUGCGCAGGCGGUUUUGUAAGUCAGAUGGGAAAUCCCCGGGCUUAACCUGGGACCUGCAUUUGUGACUGCAAAGCUAGAGUACGGUAGAGGGGGAUGGAAUUCCGCGUGUAGCAGUGAAAUGCGUAGAUAUGCGGAGGAACACCGAUGGCGAAGGCAAUCCCCUGGACCUGUACUGACGCUCAUGCACGAAAGCGUGGGGAGCAAACAGG
rnacentral:rRNA from 1 species